rnacentral:rRNA from 1 species
GAUGAACGCUGGCGGCGUGCCUAAUACAUGCAAGUCGAGCGAACAGACGAGGAGCUUGCUCCUCUGACGUUAGCGGCGGACGGGUGAGUAACACGUGGAUAACCUACCUAUAAGACUGGGAUAACUUCGGGAAACCGGAGCUAAUACCGGAUAAUAUAUUGAACCGCAUGGUUCAAUAGUGAAAGACGGUUUUGCUGUCACUUAUAGAUGGAUCCGCGCCGCAUUAGCUAGUUGGUAAGGUAACGGCUUACCAAGGCAACGAUGCGUAGCCGACCUGAGAGGUUGUCCGGCCAAACGGGAACUGGGACCCGGCCCGACUCCUAAGGGGAGGCGCCGUAGGGAAUCUUUCCGCAUUGGCGGAAGGCCUACCGAGGCACCGCGCGUGAGUGAUGAAGGUCUUCGGAUCGUAAAACUCUGUUAUUAGGGAAGAACAAAUGUGUAAGUAACUAUGCACGUCUUGACGGUACCUAAUCAGAAAGCCACGGCUAACUACGUG